ensembl:lncRNA
CCCUGGAAUUAGCGCCAACUCUGGCCUCCUGCUAAGCGCCUAGUUUUCCUGUGAUCUUUUACUAGCUGAGCUGCCCGUGACCUUUCCCAGCCUUGGAUUUUCUCCUCGGGCGAACUAAGGCUGGCCAGAGCUGCCUCCGGGGUCGCGGGGAGGACUCAGUGAGGAAACCAGGGCGAGCGCGCUUUGGAAAGCCAGUUGCUGAGCAGAUGAAAAUUUAAGAAUUGUACUGUGCCCCCGCUUUCAAAGCCACUCAGUGAAGGCUGAGGAUUUCUCGAUGUUUCUAACAGGAAGGAAGUCCUGGAGGAUAAAGUAAGAAGAUAAUAGGAUAAUGGAGGAUAAUGCUGUACCAGGAACUAACAAUCCAUCGGGGGAAACAUGGCCCCAAACAGCAUUCAAGUCCAUACCCUUCUGCUUUAUUCUUAAGGGCAGAAAAUACUGAUGCAGCAACAGCAAUCUAAGACCAGUAGGCAAAUGGAGAGGGAAGGAAAGGAUGCAAGAGUAAAUCUAAGUUUCCAUCUCCGGAAGAAAUAGACCCCAACCUGAAAACACCAAAUUCUGCCGCUAAAAAGGAGGCGUCUUUGGAAGAAAUAGGGAGUCCCGCCCUCACCCUAUCCCAGUCUUGUCCUCUCUCCCUCUCUAGACCCAAACAGGAAAAAC